rnacentral:rRNA from 1 species
GACGAACGCUGGCGGCGUGCUUAACACAUGCAAGUCGAACGGUGAACCUCUUCGGAGGGGAUCAGUGGCGAACGGGUGAGUAACACGUGGGCAACCUGCUCCCGGCUCUGGGAUAACUCCAAGAAAUUGGGGCUAAUACCGGAUGUUCACCGCUUCCCGCAUGGGUGGUGGUGGAAAGGGUUUCCGGCUGGGGAUGGGCCCGCGGCCUAUCAGCUUGUUGGUGGGGUAGUGGCCUACCAAGGCGACGACGGGUAGCCGGCCUGAGAGGGUGACCGGCCACACUGGGACUGAGACACGGCCCAGACUCCUACGGGAGGCAGCAGUGGGGAAUUUUGCGCAAUGGGCGGAAGCCUGACGCAGCGACGCCGCGUGGGGGAUGACGGCCUUCGGGUUGUAAACCUCUUUCAGCAGGGACGAAGCGCAAGUGACGGUACCUGCAGAAGAAGCACCGGCCAACUACGUG